rnacentral:rRNA from 1 species
UGGGGAAUUUUCCGCAAUGGGCGAAAGCCUGACGGAGCAAUACAGCGUGAGGGAAGACUGCCUAUGGGUUGUAAACCUCUUUUUUCAGGGAGGAAUAAAUGACGUGUACCUGAAGAAUAAGCAUCGGCUAACU